UACGUAGGGGGCAAGCGUUGUCCGGAAUCAUUGGGCGUAAAGCGCGCGUAGGCGGCCCGGUAAGUCCGCUGUGAAAGUCCAGGGCUCAACCCUGGAAAGCCGGUGGAUACUGUCGGGCUGGAGUCCGGAAGAGGCGAGUGGAAUUCCUGGUGUAGCGGUGGAAUGCGCAGAUAUCAGGAGGAACACCGAUGGCGAAGGCAGCUCGCUGGGACGGUACUGACGCUGAGGCGCGAAAGCGUGGGGAGCGAACAGG
rnacentral:rRNA from 1 species